UAGGGAAUCUUCGGCAAUGGACGAAAGUCUGACCGAGCAACGCCGCGUGAGUGAAGAAGGUUUUCGGAUCGUAAAACUCUGUUGUUAGAGAAGAACAAGGACGUUAGUAACUGAACGUCCCCUGACGGUAUCUAACCAGAAAGCCACGGCUAACUACGUGCCAGCAGCCGCGGUAAUACGUAGGUGGCAAGCGUUGUCCGGAUUUAUUGGGCGUAAAGCGUGCGCAGGCGGUUUCUUAAGUCUGAUGUGAAAGCCCCCGGCUCAACCGGGGAGGGUCAUUGGAAACUGGGAGACUUGAGUGCAGAAGAGGAGAGUGGAAUUCCAUGUGUAGCGGUGAAAUGCGUAGAUAUAUGGAGGAACACCAGUGGCGAGGGCGGCUCUCUGGUCUGUAACUGACGCUGAGGCUCGAAAGCGUGGGGAGCAAACAGG
rnacentral:rRNA from 1 species